UACGUAGGUGGCAAGCGUUGUCCGGAUUUAUUGGGUUUAAAGGGUGCGUAGGCGGUCUUUUAAGUCAGUGCUGAAAUACUCCAGCUUAACUGGAGGGGUGGCAUUGAUACUGGAAGACUUGAGUGCAGUCGAGGUAGGCGGAAUUGACGGUGUAGCGGUGAAAUGCUUAGAUAUCGUCAAGAACACCGAUAGUGAAGACAGCUUACUAGGCUGCAACUGACGCUGAGGCACGAAAGUGUGGGGAGCAAACAGG
rnacentral:rRNA from 1 species